UCGGGAAUUUUGGGCAAUGGGCGAAAGCCUGAUGGAGCAACGCCGCGUGCAGGAUGAAGGCCUUCGGGUCGUAAACUGCUUUUCUCUGUGACGACUUCCGACAGUAGCAGAGGAAUAAGGAUCGGCUAACUACGUGCCAGCAGCCGCGGUCAUACGUAGGAUCCAAGCGUUAUCCGGAAUUACUGGGCGUAAAGAGUUGCGCAGGCGGCUUAUUAAGCAGAGUGUGAAAGCGUACGGCUCAACCGUAUACACAUAUUCUGAACUGGUAAGCUAGAGGGCGAGAGAGGUGGGUGGAAUUCCUAGUGUAGAGGUGAAAUUCGUAGAUAUUAGGAAGAACACCGGUGGCGAAGGCGGCCCACUGGCUCGAUACUGACGCUGAGGUGCGAAAGCGUGGGGAGCAAACAGGAUUAGAUACCCCCGUAGUCCCUGAGCGGGCUGGCAAGGCGCAU
rnacentral:rRNA from 1 species